rnacentral:lncRNA from 1 species
AUGUGGCCUAGAGAAGCCCAUCAAUCUUCAAAUCCAAUUGUUCCAGACUAUACAGACUUUUUGCAGCAGCUCCAUACUGACUAUUUAGGGAAGAUCUGUUUUCUGGAAAGAUAAGAAAUUACUUCCAUUGAGACUCCUACUUCAGCAUCACAAGGAUCAAUUUGAGAGUGCAUAUCAGAAUGGAACAGUGGCACAAGAAGUUAUUAGAGGAACACUGUCUUAAUCCCCAAUGACAGAACUAGAAAUUUGCUGGAGCCGGUAGUUACAGAAGAAAUUGUUCUCUAAUGAGCAUUUAUGUGUACCAGUGUAUUAUUUGGUGAAUUUAAGAUGCAGCUCAAGACGGCAAUUUUCUCAACAGCAAGAUCUGUUGCCCAUUGUUGCUUUUUUUAGUUUGCAAACCUACUUGUCUGUAUAGAUGUAAGUCAAUCCAGACCAGGGCACUGAUUAAAAUUACAAACCAAAUUUUUUUAUAGGGAGUGUGACAUUUUUCUUUUGGAAGGUUUGCUUUUAUUCUGUUUCAUUUCCUAAACUAAUUAAUUGUAUAGCUGAAAAAAAGAGCUGAAUUAGCACAAUACUGAGCCUGUUGGAGGGUACGCCCAAAGAGAAAGGGACAAAUAUUUUGGCUUUAUUGCUAAAAAAAUGUGAUUAAAGACACAGCUUCAGUCCUGUGUUUAUGGUGGAAGUAGUGAUUUAUUAAUGCCUGUAUAAACAAUUUUGGUAUCACAGACAGAUAUAGGCCCCUCCAAUCGGUGGUCUGACUCCAGUUGCAGCUCUCAGGGCUUUAUACUAGUGGGACUAAUGGCCUGCCCCAGGAAAGGGUGCCCAUUUCAGAGAAGUCAUUUGUAGAGAAGGGCCUUUGAAAGAUUGCUGGCUCUCCCUGCCAGAGAGGCCAGAGGCUGUAGUGAACACCUUUUUUACUGUGUAAGGCUUGGGUGACCCCAGCUCUAAUGUCACUGCCAGUCUAGCCUUACUCACACAAGCAACACCUCUUUUACUUACAACUACUCUUUUAUUACUAAUUGUAAUCAGUCAUUGAACUGCAACGUGCAAUAUUUUGAGGGGAUAAUCCAGAGAUGUAAUGGCCUCCUGAUCAAGAGAUGAAGGUCAGGUAGUG